UACGUAGGGUGCAAGCGUUAAUCGGAAUUACUGGGCGUAAAGCGUGCGCAGGCGGUUUUGUAAGUCAGAUGUGAAAUCCCCGGGCUUAACCUGGGAACUGCGUUUGAAACUACAAGGCUAGAGUGUGGCAGAGGGGGGUGGAAUUCCACGUGUAGCAGUGAAAUGCGUAGAGAUUGGAAAGAACACCGAUGGCGAAGGCACUUUACUGGGCUAUUACUAACACUGAGAGACGAAAGCUAGGGUAGCAAAUGGG
rnacentral:rRNA from 1 species